rnacentral:rRNA from 1 species
UACGUAGGGGGCAAGCGUUGUCCGGAUUUAUUGGGCGUAAAGCGCUCGCAGGUGGUCCGAUGCGUCGUGCGUGAAAGACCCCGGCUCAACUGGGGGGUGUCGUGCGAUACGGUCGGACUGGAGGCCAGUAGGGGGAUGCGGAAUUCCGGGUGUAGUGGUGGAAUGCGUAGAGAUCCGGAGGAACACCAGCGGCGAAGGCGGCAUCCUGGACUGGUCCUGACACUCAUACACGAAAGCUAGGGGAGCAAACGGG